rnacentral:rRNA from 1 species
CGUGUAGGCGGAUCGGCAAGCUGGGGGUGAAAUCCCUGGGCUCAACCCGGGAGGUGCUUCCAGAACUAGCGAUCUUGAGAGAGGCAGAGGCAGGUGGAAUUCCAGGUGUAGAGGUGAAAUUCGUAGAGAUCUGGAGGAACACCGGCGGCGAAGGCGGCCUGCUGGGCCUUAUCUGACGCUGAGGCGCGAAAGCGUGGGGAGCAAACAGGAUUAGAUACCCUGGUAGUCCACGCUGUAAACGAUGAGCACUCGAUGUGCGAGGUAUCCACUCCCUGCGUGUCACAGCUAACGCAAUAAGUGCUCCGCCUGGGGACUACGGCGCAAGACUAAA